UGUUUCCCUCCCAAACCCCCUGCAUCUUAUCUUCUCCAUUUAUCUUUAAAGAAAACCCUAACAAUCUCACCUACAACACAAGGUUCUUCACCUAUACACCUCAUACAUAACCCAAACAUCUCAUUUCACUACCCCGCCUCCCCUUCGGUUCCCUGUAACCCGACAAAACGGAGCACCUCCGGUCGGUUCACCGGCCACACCCCCUUCGACUCCCCCUUUUCCGGCUCACAGCGGCGGUCUUUAUCUCCGACCGAUAAACUUCACGUGGGUUAGGGAAAAAGUUCAAUAUGGAUGGUUGCAUAUCCGACUUUAUUUUGAUGGAAGGACUGAUAUGACGAAAUAUUGUUGUUAUUGAUGUCCUGUUUGCGGCAUCAAUGGAGAAGUUGUUGACAUGUUGCUUGGCACCUCCACUUCAACCAUCCGUGUGUCGGAUAUGCAAGCAAGAAUGAAUCUACGUUGCUAUUUGGAUUUAGAUUUCGAUUGGGAAUGCGAUUCAGAUUUGUGUUCGGAUGGCUUUGAAGUUAUGCCCAAGAUAAAUUUAUGUUUGUAAAUUUGUGAAUGCAAUUCAGAUUUAGAUUUCGAUUGGGAAUGCGAUUCAGAUUUGUUUGUAAAGUUGUAUAAAUUUAUGAUUAAUGUUAUUGAAUUUUUAUAGUUUUUAGUUUUAUUUGCUUUUGUAUCCGAUCUCUCGGAUGUUUUAUAAAUAGAAUAAAACUAGAAAAAACAUUAAAUUUCGUGA